rnacentral:rRNA from 1 species
GGGAUGCCGCAGGGAGCGCGGAGACAGGUGGUGCAUGGCUGUCGUCAGCUCGUGUCGUGAGAUGUUGGGUUAAGUCCCGCAACGAGCGCAACCCUCACCCCUUGUUGCUACCAGGUAAAGCUGGGCACUCUAGGGGAACUGCCCCGGUCAACGGGGAGGAAGGCGGGGAUGACGUCAAGUCAUCAUGCCCCUUACGUCCUGGGCUACACACGUGCUACAAUGGCCGGUACAAAGGGAUGCCACACCGCGAGGUAGAGCUAAACCCAAAAAGCCGGUCUAAGUUCAGAUUGGAGUCUGCAACUCGACUCCAUGAAGGAGGAAUCGCUAGUAAUCGCGUAUCAGCACGACGCGGUGAAUACGUUCCCGGGCCUUGUACACACCGCCCGUCACACCACGAAAGCCAGCUGUACUCGAAGUUCGCUGAGA